AGUACCACCCCUCUGAUUCCAUACUUUUCCAGUUUUUUGAUUAGCAAAUGAUGAUCAAUUGUAUCGAAUGCUUUUUUCAAAUCUAUAAAUACACCCACUGCAUAUUUCUUAUUAUCUAUAGAACUGGUGAUGUCUUCAAUUAACUCCAUUAAUGCCAUGGAUGUCGAUCUGUUUAACCAUGAUCAUAUU